GAAGUCGUGUUUACUUUUGGUAAUGAACGCGGUUCGAUCCCCAUUGAUGCGGAACUAUCAUUUAUACCACCAACAGUUAGCAAGGUCGGGAAAGCAAAGCGUUCAGCUGCUAGGCCUUUACACGGUUUUGGCAUUUUUCCUGAGAGCAGCUCUGUUUGUGUGGCGUAGUUUGUGGUUUCUGAUGAUGGUACUCCAGGUUUAGGGCAGCAGUGUGUUUUGAGGGAAAUUCUUUUAUUUUGAUGCUCUGUUUACAUUUCCCUAGUCUUUGUAAGAAAGUUCUGUGGAUUGAUGUGCAUUUCUGGCUAAUAUUGUAGAAUUUGUUUAAAAUUA